GAUGAACGCUGGCGGCGUGCUUAAUACAUGCAAGUCGAACGGAGGAUGUAGUAAUACGUCCUUAGUGGCGAACGGGUGAGUAACGCGUUGGUGACCUGCCCCGAAGUGUGGGAUAACAGUUCGAAAGGACUGCUAAUACCUCAUGUGCUCAUUGGGAUUAGAUGCCUGAUGAUGAAAGGCGAAAGUCGCUUCGGGAGGGACCUGCGUCCCAUCAGCUAGUUGGUAGGGUAACGGCCUACCAAGGCGAUGACGGGUAGGGGACCUGAGAGGGUGGCCCCCCACAAUGGAACUGAAACACGGUCCAUACACCUACGGGUGGCUG
rnacentral:rRNA from 1 species